CUUGGUCAUUUAGAGGAAGUAAAAGUCGUAACAAGGUUUCCGUAGGUGAACCUGCGGAAGGAUCAUUAAUGAAUCUAAGUCAGUCUUCUGUGCUGGUGGCAACACAUGUGCACGUUGAUUGCAAAUCCACACACCUGUGCACCUUUGACUUUGGGAUCCGCUGGUUGGCUUGUCCAACUUGCAGCUGACAUUGACUUUGUGCUUGUCUGGGUCUCAGAGUAAUUUUACACACUCUAAAUGUAAUGGAAUGUAUCUGUGCAUAAUGUGCAAAAUACAACUUUCAACAACGGAUCUCUUGGCUCUCGCAUCGAUGAAGAACACAGCGAAAUGUGAUAAGUAAUGUGAAUUGCAGAAUUCAGUGAAUCAUCGAAUCUUUGAACGCACCUUGCACCCUUUGGUAAUCCAAGGGGUACACCCGUUUGAGUGUCAUUGUAAUCUCACUUCAUCAGCUUUUGUUGAUGGAGGUGGAUCUGGACUCUGUUGUGUCAUUACAACUGGUCUGAAAUAUGUGAGUGCACCCUGYUGUUGCAGCGUCUUCAGUGUGAUAAGCAUCUUCACUGGAUCAAGUUCCUUUUGGACACGUGUGCAUUGUGGGCUCUGUGCUGACAAACUGUCUUUGGACAAUCUUGACAAUUUGACCUCAGAUCGGGUGGGACUACCCGCUGAACUUAAGCAUAUCAAUAAGCGGAGGA
rnacentral:rRNA from 1 species